rnacentral:ncRNA from 2 species
GGCCCAGGGAGGCUCUGAGUCAACUGCGGGAACUUUGCCGUCAGUGGCUGAACCCAGAGAUACAUACCAAGGAGCAGAUCCUGGAAUUGUUGGUGCUGGAGCAGUUCCUGACCAUCCUGCCUGAGGAGCUCCAGUCUUGGGUGCGGGAGCAUAAUCCUGAGAGUGGAGAAGAGGUGGUGACUUUGCUGGAAGAUUUGGAGAGGGAGCUUGAUGAACCUAGACAGCAGUUUUUUGUAUUCCAGAAAAGGAGCAAGCAGAGGGUUUUGCAAGUGCCAUAGAAGUGUGCUUGUGAUAAAAUUUCUGCUAGUGAGUAUAAAAGAAGAAAAGCUUUAACAAUUGAAGA